rnacentral:lncRNA from 1 species
GAAGAAACAAGUUAGUAAUUGUGAAAAAUAAUAAUUGAAGCAAUAAAUAAAGAAGGCAAUAAAGUCACAAAACACAUAGUGGUAAAAUCCUAAAAGAAAGUCCCCAGCAGAGUUGCCAUGCUGUCGACGCCCCCUUUUUCAAAAGCGAAAUCGGGUUUCAUGACAUUAUGGGCAAAAUAACUCUCAUUCUUGUCUGGAAUUGGGUUAUGGAAGAGUCGCCACCUAAUGAUUAUAGUGCAUUAGGGCAGUUUUGAAUAUGAGAGGAGUAUUCUGAAAGGAAACCAAAUUUCGGGUAAGGGUUUGAGAUUAUCUCGAUGGCAAGGUGUUAGGCACCCCUCAAGAUCCACAAAUGUGGUUCCUGGCCGUACUAAUUGUGACAUUAACAGAAGAUGACGCAAGUAGACAAAUAAAGUGCACAUGUAUUCACAUAACUUGAAAGCUAGAAAAGGACAUAAGUUUGAAAUAAGAGNNNNNNNNNNNGCAAGAUGACGCAAGUAGACAAAUAAAGUGCACAUGUAUUCACAUAACUUGAAAGCUAGAAAAGGACAUAAGUUUGGAAAAAGAGAGGACUAGUGUGAAAAGCAUUAAUAGAAGAAAGCAUUUAAAUAAAACUAAUGAAAAGAAGGGUCCUAGGUUUUAUUAUAAUAUGGAUCAUUUGAUGAAAUAUCCUGCACAUAUUCCCAAAGAGGGAUCGCUUUAUGAUAUAAUCGCAUCGUCAUCAUCUCCAUAUACUAUCCUUCCUACCCCGUUAAGGUAUUUAAAUGCGUGGAUAUCGUUUACUUAUUGCAUGCUAAUAUCUGUCCCAACCUGUUAGUCUUGGGUUAUUAGGGCUUCUAAUCCUAAGAAAGGGGAAGAGAGAGAUAGGGCAUAUAUAUGGAGAUUUCAAAGGUAAUAACACUAGAGCGACAGUAAAAAACAAAUAGCAUAUAAGAGGCAUACAAGUAAACAGUUAAAGGCACAAUUAAACCCCAUAACACACAGCACAUAGUUUAGCAUGACAUCAAUUUCUGAUUUGGUCUUUUGAAAGAGAUUAAAAGGGCGGACAGAUUAGUUUAACAUAUAAGAGUUGGAUUAAAAAUCUGAUUCGACUCCCCGAGCCCGUUUAGGAGUUGACAUGAUUUAGAAAACCAGUAGGCUUUUGGAGGAAAACAUUAAUUUCAAACAAGAGUCUAUUCAAAAGAUUCAAAGUUGCGAAAAAGUCUAGAAAAUACCUAUGAGUUAGUCGAACUGUUUGAAUACAAAAGAGAUGCAAAAUCUGAGGCUUUCUCUUUAGAGUAAUGCAAGUGUGGAAUUACUAGCCCCAAGACAUCCAAGUUCAGAGGAUACUGUGUGGCCCCCUAGGCAUGGCUUACCAAGGGGAAGUAGGACUUAAAGCACUAAGAAUAAGUGUAAAGGUGAUAGAUUAGAGGAAGACCAUUGUAUGAAGUGGUCAUACCCAGCCUAUUGAGUGAUACUGGCACACCCCAGACUUCUUACAAACGUUAACAAACAAGACCAGACUUGUAAGCAAGUCAGAAAAAGGUCUGAAUGGUAAUUAGGACACCAACAUGCCUUUGUCAAGGCUCAAACACAUAAUAAGGGGGGUAGGGGAUGGGAU